rnacentral:rRNA from 1 species
UACGUAGGGCGCAAGCGUUUAUCCGGAAUUAUUGGGCGUAAAGAGCUCGUAGGCGGUUUGUCGCGUCUGCUGUGAAAACUGGGGGGCUCAACCCCCCAGCCUGCAGUGGGUACGGGCAGACUAGAGUGCGGUAGGGGGAGAUUGGAAUUCCUGGUGUAGCGGUGGAAUACGUAGAUAUCAGGAGGAACACCGAUGGCGAAGGCAGGUCUCUGGGCCACUACUGACGCUGAGAAGCGAAAGCAUGGGGGAGCGAACAGG